CAGAGAGGUGGUGGAUGAACCAUCCCUGGAGACAUCCCAGGCCAGGCUGGACGGGGCUCUGAGCAACCUGAGCUGGUGAAGAUGUCCCUGCUCAUGGCAGGGGGGGCACUGGGGGAGCUGGGAAGGUCCCUUCAACCCAAACCACCCCACAACUGUUAUCCUGCUCAAACCCCUUCCCUCUAAAAGUACCGCGAUCCACAACACUCACCCAGCAGCUCUGGAAGAGAAAUAUCCCACAGGAUCUCAACUAGCUGGAGCAUCCCUUCUGAACUCGUGGUUUAUCCUCUUUUUGGGCCCAAAAGAGAGGCAGGUGCUACACAAGGAGCUGUGGGGAACCUUGUAUGUGGGUGGGUAGAGACUGAAGCAAUUUGCUGAGGUGCAACAGCAAAAAAACCAAACCGGUACAACCCAGCGCUGCCAGCAGGUGUAAAACCUGCACCGGAUCAGCGAGCUGAACAAUCCGAUUUAAACCGGGCCUAAAGAAGCUGUGUUGGAGUGAGGGUGACAGUCACUUCGAUGGCCCCGUUCAGGAGACCCAAGCCUGGGAGGGAUUUCUGCAAGGAGCCGCUCAAAGCAGAGACACGGGGAAGGAAAGUUCAGAUUCCGAACCCAUCCACAGCCUCAGAUCUUUUGAGGUUCCGAACCACAGCAGCUUGGAGAUGGCACGCAGAGAAUACAGAGGACAGGACGCGUACGGGAAGGCUUCCCCCAAAAACUACUAGUUUUACAGUUACUACACAUAGAAAUAAAACACUAGAGAGAUCCCAAGUGAAAAAAAACAUCUCUUUGGUAUAAUUAUGUGCAGCCAAGUUUAACAACAGAGAGAAAAACACAACAAACAGGAAAAGAAAUACUAUUUCAUCUUCAAACUUGCUUGUAGAUCAAAAGGGCGGAGGUUGAUGGACACUCGGGCCCCACGGCAGCCCCAAAGCGUCGUGUGGUUGAAAUGAGAGCCAGUGUGGGAUUUGGGUUUUACCUUUCAUCCCUAAUCAUGUGAACGACGUAGCGAAAUAGCGCCGAGGGGAAUAAAGCGUCGCUGCCGGGCCGGCGGCGGAUUGGCAGACGUUCUCUCUUUUGAACAAACCCGCAUUGGAACUGAAGAUCGGUUUGAACAGUUUACAGAUAGAAACUCGACAGGCCUUGCCCGUUCCCAUCGGGUCACCCGCAAUUAAACAGCGAACGGAUGGUCUGAAGUGAAAUGUGGGUUUGGUGACCGGGGAAGCGCCCCAACUCCAUAGGUCCAACAUAUAGAAUCUGUAGGGACUCAGGCUGAAUCCAGGAGCUCCAGCAGAGCACCGACGGCACCGAAAUAACCCUGAGGAGCAGAGAGGAAUAUAUUAAAUAUUAAAAUAAAGGCACACAACUGAGAGGAAAACAAGAAUAUUACGCAUACAUUGUAAUUUUAACAACUUGGUGGGAGGAAAUAACUCUAAGUAGGUACAUUACAAAAUAGAUUUUAACAACUGUAAGGUGGGAAAGCAGAGCUGCACAGAAUCAUCUACACCCUCAAGAGUCUUACAGUUUGGUAGGAAACAAUUCUAUUAUUAAUUACUGGAAAAAUAUACGUGUUUUUGUGACCCUAUGUAAUAAUACAGUGACCCACUGUAGCAAGCUGCUGGGUGUCAACAGCUACAGGCUCCACGCGGCUGUUUCACAAAGGGUUUGAAUCUCAACACGGGACAUCAUAAAUGAAACAUUUCACCUCGUGUUCCAAGAAAAGUGCUUUUAACUGCCCCUUCGACCAGUAGUCCAACGCGUACGCCAGAAGCCUCAUGGAGAUCGUGUUGAUCCGAAGGAAGUUGCCAACGAACACCACGCGAUUAAUGUUCUGCGAGUAUUAAGGAAAAAAAACCCAAUGGGGCGUUAAGGCUGAAUUCAAUUCUCUGUUUGCACUGAUGAUCCUUAUACUGGCUAGAAACACUCGUCACCACGUGCCAUCUCCUCUCCCCACAACUCCGGCCUUUAACUCAUCACUAAAUAAGCUGAAUAGUUCUCUACUGUUAAUGUAAGACGACUAAAAAUAUAUCGGAACACAUAACCAACACAAUUCUGAAAAGACCAACCAAGUCGUGAUAUUUUUGAUUUAUAUCAGACUUCCAGCCACACUUUUCAAUCCCCAAAUCGUUCUGAGCCAAGCGAUGUGCUCUGAAGCUUUUCAUCUCCAACAAGAAGAUCAUUUCGGUUCCUCCUCGUUCCACAGAGUCAGGAUUAAGUCCUUUCUGCCCCUGCACUUGCAUCCUGUGCAUUUUCCUUCCAUCCCCACAUUCAUUAACACCUUCCCCUAAUUAUUGAGCAUCCUUUUUGCAUUCAGCGAGGACUCAGCAGAUGGAUUGCGGGUAGGCCUGCUCAGAAGUCCUCGCCUAAUUUCAGCAGUAAAUUAAGGUAAUUAGCGUGCGUUGGCUUAACCCCAAGCGGAAGAGGCUGUGGAGAGAGCGGAGCGCUCGUCUCUGCUCUUUCAUAGCCCUGUACAAUGCUGCUUGACAUGAACGCAACAAGGCAGCACUGUAAAGAAGCUGAAAGCACAAAGAUAACCAGGAACAGCGGUGGAAACGGUGGGACCUGAGCGAGAAGUUCGUCAACCCGGCGCAGGAACCGUAUGUGGAAGAGGUUUCCCCUGAUACCUCGUUGAGCGCGCACAUCCGCGCUAUGGAGCCGAUGUUGUUGGUGAUGGUGAUUAAAGUGGCCUUGGCCAGGUCCUCUUUGCUGACAGAGUCCCGCUUCUCCUUGCUCAUCAUGUUCCCAAAGCUGGAAAAGACAAUUUUGGGGGUUAAAAGUCCAUCAGAAUCCCAGGAGAAAACAGGAAUUGCUUAUUUAACCAAAGUGUUGAUUUCUAACUGCAAAAAGCAUUGCUCUGGGUAAUUCAGAUCUAUUCAAACACAACAACAGAAGCAGUUGCUCUUCCAAGAUGUGUAAAUCUAGUUUUUCCCCCUCACGCGAUCUCAAAUGAAAAUAUAAAUGAAAAACCUCAGUCCUUACCUGGAGGCCACAGCCCAACCGGGCAACCCGAACCGCUCGUAGUCCCCCCCGUAAAUGUCCCGCACCAGCUUGUCCACUUUGGUGCUGUCCCCGUGCGACGCCAUCUCCAGCGCCUCCUCAAACGUGGAGCAGCCGGUCAGCAGGCAGCAGAGCCCAAAAAACGUUCCCCCUCCCAGGCUGCAACGUAAAGAGAAACCAAAGUCACCCGCUUUGCUUCUAAAGGGACAGAAAACGGCUCGUUUCGGUGAAAUCUCGGUGAGUUCGGGUUGCCCCGUUCCUUCUCUUUUCGGUGAGGACAAUGUCGGAUGAGCAGCGGUUUUCUUGAAAUCUGUUUUCAACUAAGGGAUCCCAGGCCCUCACAGCCUUUUGCAGAGAGCAUCGUCCUAAAUAACAAAUUCAUUUGCUAUUUUUACAAUAUCCACCUUCUUCCCAGCGCUUGGAGAAGUCAGUCUUAAAAUAAAUAUUAGUCCUGAGGGAUACCUGAUGUAUUAAGGGGAAAAAAUGAUGUCCUGUUCACUUUACUGAGCACACACACCAAUAAUGGUGUAUAUAAUAAGAGUGUGGGGUUAUUGUUAGUAUUAAUAUUAUUAUUAUUAUUACUAUUAUUAUUGCUACAUUCACAGAAUCACAGAAUCGACUGGGUUGGAAAAGACCUCAGAGAUCAUCCAGUCCAACCCUUGGUCCAACUCCAGUCCAUUGACUAGAUCAUGGCACUAAGUGCCAUGGCCAAUCUCAGUUUACAAACCUCCAGGGCCAGUGAGUCCAGCACCUCCCUGGGCAGCCAUUCCAAUGCCUGACCACUCUCUCUGCAAAGAAUUGCUUCCUAAUCUCCAGCCUAAACUUAAGUUUAAGCCCCUUGUCCUAUUGCUGACUGCCUGGGAGAAGAGACCAAUCCCCACCUGGCUAGAACUGCCCUUCAGGUAGUUCCAGAGAGUGCUGAGCUCAGCUCUAAGCCUCCUCUUCUCCAGACUAAACAAGCCCAGCUCCCUCAGCCUCUCCCCAUAGCUCUUGUGUUCUAGGGAAGCUCAAAGCCACAGAGCAAUUUGGGUUUGCGAGGCAAAAGAAGUCAUAGAAUCAUAGAAUAAUUCUGGUUGGAACUGACCCUCAGGAUCAUCGAGUCCAACCAUAACACAGUUGGAAAAUUACUGGAGAAUCGCGUCCCUGCCACCAAAAUAAGGGAAAUUUCCCAAGUCCUGAGGCAAAUCUCUCCUGCAAAGUCAACGCUUGUGAAUGGAAUCAUUGUAUUUGGGUCAAUCUGAAAUUACGGGAGCUCUCUGAUGGCAAAUAAACCCCUGAUUCCUACAGCAGGGCAACUGAAAAGUAACUUUUUAAAGAGACCGGUCACAGUAAAGACUAAGGGGUGAAAUUCAGAUUCUCUCUUGGCAGCGAAAAGGGAAGAGCAGGAGCUCGGUCAUUCAACUCACCACCUUUACUGCAGCUUGUUCCCUGAAAAUGUCACUUUUUACUCUAAAUUAAACUCGACUGGUGCCCUUGCAGCGCUCACCUGGUGCCCGUGACCCGCUUGUAGUUUUCUUUGGAAUACACGGCCAGAAUGCUGACCCCCGAGCCGAUGUUCACCAGGAGGAGAGGAUACGGGUUCUCCAGGUUGAACGGGAGCUUCCGACACCGUUCGGCAUCCGUCGGGUUCUCGAAAUAGUAGCACUCCGAAUGCCCAUUGAAUCCGACCGAAUCGAUGUACAAAACUCCUUUAAUAAGGCAAUCGAGUUCAUCGAGCUUACAAAGCUCAAGG